CCCUUUCUCAAAAAAAAAAAAAACCACCCAAAUCUCCCCUCACAAUCUCCUCCUGAAUUAAAACUGCUAGCCCCAUUUCUCUCACUUUCUUCCGUACAAAACGAAUUCGAAGUUCGCCCUUGCUCGGCGAUUGUUCACUAUCCUCACCCACCCUUUCCCCCCUCCUCUGUCGCGCCGCCGCUGAGCUCUGCUUGUCCUCCUUCCCCCCACCGCCGCCACACUUCUCUCCUCUUAUGAAUUUUAGGUUACUUACAUUCUUGAAAGUGUUGGUCUUGAAGGACUAUGCUAUACUUCCAUUCCGAAGUAAUAUUUUAAGGUGGCUUGUACAUAGGCAUCGAGGCUCAAGACUAAUAGGCAUUGGCAAGGGAUUCUUCUACUAGAGCCGACAGAUACUGGCUUGUUGUGUUCCAUUCCAUAUUUGCAGUCUUUCCCUCACAUGUUUCUUUCAAAUAUGUUUCUCACAUGAAAAUAAAGUGUUGCAUGACUCUCUGGAUACUGUGUUUAGCAUUUAGUCCUAAGUUUUAGCUGACCAAAGGAGAGCCUUGAGGUUUAAACUUAAUGUUUUUUUUUCAGAUGUUGUUACUGGGGUUCCCAAAAGAGUUUGGCAGGCUUUAAUUGGUGCUGCUUUACACAGUUAUCACAACAAAGGAAGACCUCAAAAAUGUGAACUUGAAAAUAUCAGUAAUAUUUUGCGUCUUGGAAAAAGUUAUAAAUCAUCCCAACAAAUACUGUCAAUUGUUGCAGAUUAUUUGGAUUCGAGUUGCUGGUCUAGUAACAACAAUAUUGUGAUAAGACAUCCAAAGCUUGAAACAACAUAAGUGAUAGAUGCUUUGAAUUAUUUUCAGAAAACUUGUGCAAUCGUAACAAGGAGCUUCAUGUCAUUAUGAACUCUUAAGUCAUGAACUGCAUCAGAUGAAUGCAUGAGUUUCUGAAGAAAUUUAGACAAAGUUAUUUCUGCAUCAAGAGACCAUUUUGAUUUUAAGGUAUUAUUCACUGGGCUCGGUUUGGAAUACAACAUAGAUGGGCUUACGUAAGGGAAUAUCGUAUAAUUAACCGUAGUAUUUUUUUUUGUUCAACAACUCUACAAGAUAAUAUUAGCAUGGUAUCCAACCAUCCAUAACAUUUGGGAUUGAUAUAUGCAAGGGAAUCACUUUGGAGAGUCAUGGACUUGUAUAUUAUGCUGGUCAACAAGGGCUUCACAAGCAACAUGAUCUUGUCGAGGAACUAUUACUUAUUAAAAGUACUAUGACACAAAUACUUGUUACUUUUUCUAUUGUUUUUUUUCUAGUAUGUUGAUAACAUUUCAUAUGAUUUUAAGUUGCGAGACAUUGAGAAGUUUUAUGAUAGAAAUGAAAUUGGAUGUUA